UACGGCCAUAUCUCGUUGAAACAUUGGUUCCCGUACGAUUACCCAAGUUAAGCAAUAUCAAGCCUGGUCAGUACCCAGAUGGGUGAUCGUUUGGGAAAACCAGGGGCUGCAAG